CAUUUCUCUUCAUAUUCAUCAGCUGAAAAACAGCCAUGGAAGGGGGUUCAAGCUGGUUUUCAUGCUCUAGCUUCAUGUUGCGCAUGGGAGCCUGCAACCAUGAUGAACUUGUACGAUCCAUCGCAUUUGAGGGAGGUCAUUAGGCUCAAUUAGACUGGUCCAUUGUUUGGAGAGAUUGAAAGCCCAUCUCCGGAGCUCGGUAAAUAUGGAAAGUAAUCUUCAAAGAUAUGCUUGGCAAAUAUGGAAGGUGAACUUAUAUGUGAUCAUAGACAUUAAAUGUAAUCUUUAGAAAAUACGAUUCUGUAAUCUUAGAGAUUUGAUAUUGGGAUAGCUUUUAAUCUUAGCAAUUGAUGUAUUUCGAUAUGUACCGUUGAUUUUGGGGAGGCUCAGUUAUAAAUAGAGGCCUCUCCCUCUCAUCGUAAUUCAUUUAGUUAUUAAUAGAA